GUUGCUCUGGUACAGCAGGAGGAAAAUGGAUUGUCUACAAAUGGACUCUUUGCCUACCAAAAACGUCUGCUUGUUUUUAACACCUGUGGUUUAGAUCCUCGAUAACAGAAAAUAAAGCAUUCCUGAUAGGGGCCAAGAACUACUUUAUGAAGAGGAAGAUGAGGAUACUGACAGAGUAAAAUCAUGGAGAAAAUGGAAGAACUGAACGCAGACAUGAGAAGUUAAAUCACAGAAGAAAAGUUAAGCAGGAACUUGAGAGAGGGACGAACUGUGACAAGUUGUAAGAAGGAAGACCAGGACUCACCAGGAAAAUAAUAAAUUGUCCUUGAUCGUACAAAAGAAUGUGUUAAUGGAAUUUUCCUAAUAAAUAUAAGAGAAUGUCAGCAUAAA